GGCGCUAUAGUGUAGUGGCUAUCACAACGGAUUCUGAUUUCUGAUAACUUUCCGUUAACCCAGGUUCGAACCCUGGUAGCGCCU